GCAAUGGCAGUUGACAAUGGGAUAACUGUUGGUUGUGAGAACCCUAAUGCUCUACCACAGGGAGGAGAAAGCUGACACCAAGUCCAACCCACAUCAACACGGGGGUGGGACACCCGUGAGGGGGCCAAGGCUGUAGUCCAGAAGAAAGGUGGAUGAAACUGGGGAAAGAGCAGUAGCACAGGGAGAUGGGGGAGGAUGGGGUAAUUCAGAAUUUCCCUUUUUGAGAGUGGCAUCAACACCAUGUUGAAGUAGGAGUUCUCCGGCUUCUCUCCUCCCCAACAGAAUUUCAACUAGCAACAAUCCCGUGGCAAGUUUACCAUCCUGAAUAUCCCAGAACUUGGAGUGAAGCUUUGCAUCCCCUGGGAUGGCAGAGCCAAGAAAAACCAUGAGGACGGUAAGGGGAUGGCUGCUCUCUGACCACGCCACUCCUCCCCAAGCCCGCACAGUGCCACACGCAGAGGAGUCCCUGGAUGCUCGGUUUCUCCAGUGGACACAGUGGAUGGGAGGUGGGCGUUCGGCUUCCCCACCAGUCUGAGACUUCACAGGAGACUCACUCUAGUCUUUUCCCGCAGGAAGCACUGUGAGUACCAGCAGGGUCAGCCCAACAAGGGUCAGUAAGAACUUCCCUUUUCAAAAGAUAAAGCGGUUCACAUAGAGAGCUGUGGUGGACUCUUUCUGCUGCCUGCCCAACAGACUUCUGCACAUUUCCUAAGGACAGAACCGCAUUUUUGUACUAGAGCAGAGAUUCCGUGAUAUCAGGAGAAGAGGCCCUUCCCCCAGUCCCAGGGGCCGAUAAACUCAUUCUUCUUUGCAAUUGUACAAUGACAUGCACAGGGAAGUCUUCCUUUCCAGGAUAUAAAGCACCAUUAGGAGAAAGUUUUUGGCCUGCCUUGGCCCUUAUUUUUUGUUUGGGGGAUGUUGUGUGAGACAACAUCAUUCCUGAGCUGUGGCAGCCAUCUUACCAUCAUGAGGAAACAGCCACAGGGAUAAAAAGCCAAUCCUCUGAGGACCUGGAAGAAAGGAAAGAACCUGGCUCCCAAGGCAUCACUGAGACGCAAAUCAACAAUGGGUGAUUUAUUCACAUGGGUCAAAAUUCAAAAAGUAUCAAAGAGUAAACAGUGAAAUGUCUCUCUUUCACUCCUAUCCCCCAACCACCAAGGUCCCUGCCCUGGAAGCAACCAAUGUUACUGUUUCUGAUGCUUUUCCAGAGUGAAUCUCUGAAUACCACGGACAGUCUCACAUGUCAAUGCAGAUGUUGUGACUUCAAGUUUACGGUCCCACCGGGGCCUUAACACUGCCUGGCGAUCCUGCCACAUCCCAGUGACCAACCUGCUCCUUCCCUCCAUGCAAUGAGUGCUCACACCUCCUCUAUGCAAACUUCCAGAUGCUACCUCAUCAUCAUGCUCUUGCUGUCAACAGAUGACAUGGAACCCAUCUUCACCAAAAAACUCAACAUCCUUCUUUACAAUGACAGAGAUCCAGUUGUUGACAAUACCAAAUCUGAGCAAAGAUAUGGAGCAACUGGAACUCUCAUAAAUUGCUGGUGCAAGUGUGUGGGGGAAACUCCCUCUAACUGCGUUUUUCCACUACUCUCACACCACAACAUUCAACACAGAAGAAGACUUCUAUAGCCAAAUGUGUUGCGGGGGGUUCCCUACACACCAAGUGGCAGACACCAGCUGGCUGUCCUCUAAUUCAUGUCCACACUGUCUUCCUGACACUGUCUCCCACAGGUUGAGGGCUUAGUCCCCAAGACUGCCCCGUCACACCAGUCACAAGCCCAAGCCUCUGGAACUUCUGAUCGACUGGCUUCAAGUUGGGGUUCCCAUGACCCCCUCUUUGGGUUCGAUUAAUUUGCUGAAGCGGCUCACAGAACCCAGGGAACUUACUUAUGUUUACAGGUUUAUUAUAAAGGAUAUUGCAGAGGAUACAGGUGAAGAGAUGCACAGGGCGAAGUAUGGGAAAAGGGGCAUGGAGAUUCCAUGCCCUCCCCGGGGGCAUCACCCUCCAGGAGCCUCCACAUGCUCAGCUACCCAGAAGCUCUCUGCACCCAGUCCUCUUGGUUUUUUAUGGACACUUCAAGUCAUCAGCAUUCCUUCUCCCAGGGUAUAGGGUGGGACCCUCUCAUUGGAGAGUAUUUAGACCCACAAUCAGAAAGGAGGGGAUCAUUAGAGUCCUGCCUUGAAACAGGUAAAAAGAGGGCAGGAGGUCAGAGGCCUGCCCCUGAGGCCCAACGCACCCAACAUUAUAACAAAAGACUGUAACAGGGGCUAUUGGAGUUAUGAGCCAGGAACCGUGGAUGAUAUCCAAUAUACAUCAUAACACCACAGCAAGUUUAAAAUGUUACAGCUACUUUGGAAAACUCUUUAGGAGUUGCUUAUAAAGCUAAAUAUACACUUACUCUAUGACCAAGCUAUUCUACUCCUAGGUAUUUAUCCAAGAGAAAGAAAAACAAAUAUCCAAAAUACUUGUAUAAGAAUGUUCACAGCAGAUUUUAUUUAUAAUAGUCAAAAACUGGAAACAACGCAAAUGUCCAUCAACAGGUUACUGGAUAAACUAAUUGUGGUCUAUUCAUACAAUAGUAACCUACUAUAUUCCACUGUAGUAAUACACAGGUACACAAAACGACAUGGCUGAAUCUCAAAAACAUUAUGUUGGGCAAAAGAAGUUAGAUAAAAAUAAGCCGCGGCUGGGCGUGGUGGCUCAAGCCUGUAAUCCCAGCACUUUGGGAGGCCAAGGCAGGCGGAUCACUGGAGGUCAGG